CGAAGGCGGCUCACUGGCCUAGAACUGACGCUAAGGCGCGAAAGCGUGGGGAGCGAACGGGAUUAGAUACCCCGGUAGUCCACGCCGUAAACGUUGUAUACUAGGUGUUAGUGGAUUUAUUCACUAGUGCCGAAGCUAACGCAUUAAGUAUACCGCCUGGGGAGUACACUCGCAAGGGUGAAACUCAAAGAAAUUGACGGGGGCCCGCACAAGCGGUGGAUCAUGUGGUUUAAUUCGAUGAUACGCGAAGAACCUUACCUGGGCUUGAACUGUACCUGACAGGUGUAGAGAUACACCCUCCUUCGGGCAGGUAUAGAGGUGCUGCAUGGUUGUCGUCAGCUCGUGUCGUGAGAUGUUGGGUUAAGUCCCGCAACGAGCGCAACCCUUACUCCUUGUUGCUAACAGGUUAAGCUGAGCACUCUAGGGGGACUGCCGGUUAUAAACCGGAGGAAGGUGAGGAUGACGUCAAAUCAGCACGGCCUUUAUGUCCAGGGCUACACACGUGAUACAAUGGUCGGUACAAAGAGCUGCGAGCCCGCGAGGUGGAGCUAAUCUCAAAAAACCGGCCUCAGUUCGGAUUGCAGUCUGCAACUCGACUGCAUGAAGGUGGAAUCGCUAGUAAUCGCAGAUCAGCACGCUGCGGUGAUACGUUCCCGGGCCUUGUACACACCGCCCGUCACACCAUCCGAGUUGGCAGCACCCAAGUUGGCUGGUCUAACCCUUCNGGGGAGGAAGGUCAUUAAGGUGAAGCCGGUGAGGAGGGUGAAGUC
rnacentral:rRNA from 1 species